rnacentral:rRNA from 1 species
AUUGAACGCUGGCGGCAGGCCUAACACAUGCAAGUCGAACGAGUGGCGGACGGGUGAGUAAGGUCUGGGAAACUGCCUGAUGGAGGGGGAUAAGUACUGGAAACGGUAGCUAAUACCGCAUACCAUCAGAUGUGCCCAGGUGGGAUUAGCUAGUUGGUGGGGUAACGGCGCACCAAGGCGACGAUCCCUAGCUGGUCUGAGAGGAUGAACAGCCACACUGGAACUGAGACACGGUCCAGACUCCUACGGGAGGCAGCAGUGGGGAAUAUUGGACAAUGGGCGCAAGCCUGAUGCAGCCAGGCCGCGUGUAUGAAGAAGGCCUUCGGGUUGUAAAGUACUUUCAGCGGGGAGGCGUUACCCGCAGAAGAAGCACCGGCUAACUCCGUGCCAGCCGCCGCGGUAAUAC